AUGGCGGUCAUUUGGGGUUGGAUCUAUGGGGUCAUGGGGUUGGAUCUAUGGGCCCACUGGGGUUGGAUCUAUGGGGUCGCAUUUAGGGUUGAUCUUAUGGGGCCCAUUUGGGUUGGAUCUAUGGGGCCCCAUGGGGUUGGAUCUAUGGGGCCCAUUAGAUUGGAUCUAUGGGGCCCAUGGGGUUGGAUCUAUGGGGCCCAUAGGGGUUGGAUCUAUGGGGCCCAUUUGGGGUUGGAUCUAUGGGCCCAUUUAGGGUUGGAUCUAUGGGGCCCAUUUGGGGUUGGAUCUAUGGGGCCCAUUAGAUUGGAUCUAUGGGGCCCAUGGGGUUGGAUCUAUGGGGCCCAUUAGAUUAAAUCUAUGGGGCCCAUUGGGGUUUUAUCUAUGGGGCCCAUUAGAUUAAAUCUAUGGGGCCCAUUGGGGUUGGAUCUAUGGGACCUAUUGGGGUUGAAUCUAUGGGGCCCAUGGGGUUGGAUCUAUGGGGUCCAUUUGGGGUUGGAUCUAUGGGGGCCCAUUAGAUUUAAAUCCUAUGGGGCCCAUGGGGUUGGACUAUGGGGCCCAUUGAGUUGGAUCUAUGGGGCCCAUAGGGUUGUCUAUGCGGAACCCAUAGGGGUUUGGGAUCUAUGAGAA
rnacentral:lncRNA from 1 species